UACGUAGGGGGCAAGCGUUGUCCGGAAUCACUGGGCGUAAAGCGCAUGUAGGCGGGAUAUUAAGUGAGAUGUGAAAUACCCGGGCUCAACUUGGGUGCUGCAUUUCAAACUGGAAGUCUAGAGUGCAGGAGAGGAGAAUGGAAUUCCUAGUGUAGCAGUGAAAUGCGUAGAGAUUAGGAAGAACACCAGUGGCGAAGGCGAUUCUCUGGACUGUAACUGACGCUGAGGCUCGAAAGCGUGGGGAGCAAACAGGA
rnacentral:rRNA from 1 species